UACAGAGGUCUCGAGCGUUGUUCGGAUUCAUUGGGCGUAAAGGGUGCGUAGGUGGCGCUGUAAGUCGGGUGUGAAAUUUCGGAGCUUAACUCCGAAACUGCAUUCGAUACUGCGGUGCUUGAGGACUGGAGAGGAGACUGGAAUUCAUGGUGUAGCAGUGAAAUGCGUAGAUAUCGUAAGGAAGACCAGUGGCGAAGGCGGGUCUCUGGACAGUUCCUGACGCUAAGACGCGAAAGCGUGGGGAGCAAACAGG
rnacentral:rRNA from 1 species